rnacentral:rRNA from 1 species
UGGGGGAUAUUGCACAAUGGGCGAAAGCCUGAUGCAGCGACGCCGCGUGGGGGAUGAAGGCCUUCGGGUUGUAAACUUCUUUUGCUCUGAACAAGGCGCACCAUGGGGUGUGUUGAGUGUAGGGGUUGAUUAGCGCCGGCUAACUACGUGCCAGCAGCCGCGGUAAUACGUAGGGCGCGAGCGUUGUCCGGAAUUAUUGGGCGUAAAGGGCUUGUAGGUGGCUGGUUGCGUCUGUCGUGAAAGCUCAUGGCUUAACUGUGGGUUUGCGGUGGGUACGGGCUGGCUUGAGUGCAGUAGGGGAGGCUGGAAUUCCUGGUGUAGCGGUGGAAGGCGCAGAUAUCAGGAGGAAUACCGGUGGCGAAGGCGGGUCUCUGGGCUGUUACUGACACUGAGGAGCGAAAGCAUGGGGAGCGAACAGG